UACGUAGGGUGCGAGCGUUGUCCGGAAUUAUUGGGCGUAAAGAGCUCGUAGGCGGUGUGUCACGUCGGCCGUGAAAACCUGCAGCUUAACUGUGGGCGUGCGGUCGAUACGGGCAUCACUGGAGUUCGGCAGGGGAGACUGGAAUUCCUGGUGUAGCGGUGAAAUGCGCAGAUAUCAGGAGGAACACCGGUGGCGAAGGCGGCAUCCUGGACCGAUACUGACGCUGAGGAGCGAAAGCCAGGGGAGCAAACGGG
rnacentral:rRNA from 1 species